rnacentral:rRNA from 1 species
CCUACGGGAGGCAGCAGUGGGGAAUAUUGGACAAUGGGCGAAAGCCUGAUCCAGCCAUGCCGCGUGUGUGAAGAUGGCCUUCGGGUUGUAAAGCACUUUCAGUGGGGAAGAAAGCCUUGGGGCUAAUACCCUCGAGGAAGGACAUCACCCACAGAAGAAGCACCGGCUAACUCCGUGCCAGCAGCCGCGGUAAUACGGAGGGUGCGAGCGUUAAUCGGAAUUACUGGGCGUAAAGCGCGCGUAGGCGGUCUGAUAAGCCGGUUGUGAAAGCCCCGGGCUCAACCUGGGAACGGCAUCCGGAACUGUCAGGCUAGAGUGCAGGAGAGGAAGGUAGAAUUCCCGGUGUAGCGGUGAAAUGCGUAGAGAUCGGGAGGAAUACCAGUGGCGAAGGCGGCCUUCUGGACUGACACUGACGCUGAGGUGCGAAAGCGUGGGUAGCAAACAGGAUUAGAUACCCCUGUAGUC